GGAACUCCCUCAUUCCUUGCUGCACUUUAAGGAUUACUCCACCUCUGUUUACUUAACAAAAGGGACAAUGAAUGCAGUAAUGUGUUGAUAUUAUAGAUUGUUUCUUGGGGAUGAUCUUGACUGAAUGUGUAUCUAGAAGAUGAUUAUUUAUUGUAACAAUCUGGUAUCUGAAUGGGUUUCUAAAGCAUUGCACUAUCUUGCAGUUAAAAGUUGGGUUUAAGCAAUUGUUUAGUUUGAUUUCAGAUAGUUCAUGCUAGAAAACUUAAAUACUUAGGAUAAAAAAAAAAUUAAAGAGUUUCAAUUUUGAACUGGGUAGCCUGAGAAAAUUUCACUAGGUAUUCCAAUGCAUUAACUUGGGCAAGGAUAAUAAAUUAUGAUAUGAUAUCUUUCCCCUCAGUGUGUAAGAUUCAGG
rnacentral:lncRNA from 1 species